AGUGAACGCUGGCGGUAGGCCUAACACAUGCAAGUCGAACGGCAGCACAGGAGAGCUUGCUCUCUGGGUGGCGAGUGGCGGUCGGGUGAGGAAUACAUCGGAAUCUACUCUGUCGUGGGGGAUAACGUAGGGAAACUUACGCUAAUACCGCAUACGACCUACGGGUGAAAGCAGGGGAUCUUCGGACCUUGCGCGAUUGAAUGAGCCGAUGUCGGAUUAGCUAGUUGGCGGGGUAAAGGCCCACCAAGGCGACGAUCCGUAGCUGGUCUGAGGGGAUGAUCAGCCACACUGGAACUGAGACACGGUCCAGACUCCUACGGGAGGCAGCAGUGGGGAAUAUUGGACAAUGGGCGCAAGCCUGAUCCAGCCAUACCGCGUGGGUGAAGAAGGCCUUCGGGUUGUAAAGCCCUUUUGUUGGGAAAGAAAUCCAGCUGGCUAAUACCCGGUUGGGAUGACGGUACCCAAAGAAUAAGCACCGGCUAACUUCGUGCCAGCCGCCGCCGUAA
rnacentral:rRNA from 1 species